AUGGAAGGACUCAAAGGGGCGCUUUCCCAGCUGCAGCUGGUGGCCUCUGGCCCUGGGGUGGGGGAGGUCUCCGAGCCCCUCACACUGACCUGUGCUGUCUCCGGGUCCUCCAUCGCUGAACAGUAUUACUACCGGCACUGGGUCCGUCAGCCUCCUGGAGAAGGGCUGGAAUCCAUGGGAUGGAGCCGGCCCUGCGCGCUGCGCCCCGUCUCUCGAAGCCGAGUCACCAUCUCUACAGACACCGCCAAGAACCAGUUCUCCCUGACGCUCCGCUCGCUGACAGCUGCAGACACCGCCACCUAUUACUGCGGCAGGAGCUACACAGUAACAGAGGCACAGGGAGGUCUGGGACAAAAAGUGAGCAUCUUAAAAUGA